rnacentral:rRNA from 1 species
CCUACGGGAGGCAGCAGUCGGGAAUCUUGGGCAAUGGGCGAAAGCCUGACCCAGCAACGCCGCGUGAGGGAUGAAGGCCCUCGGGUCGUAAACCUCUGUCGGGAGGGAAGAACGGUGACGUUUCGAAUAGGCUCGUCACCUGACGGUACCUCCAAAGGAAGCACCGGCUAACUCCGUGCCAGCAGCCGCGGUAAUACGGAGGGUGCAAGCGUUGUUCGGAAUCACUGGGCGUAAAGCGCGUGUAGGCGGCUUGGCAAGUCGAAUGUGAAAUCCCGGGGCUCAACCCCGGAACUGCAUCCGAAACUGCCUCGCUAGAGUCUCGGAGAGGAAGGCAGAAUUCCCGGUGUAGGGGUGAAAUCCGUAGAUAUCGGGAGGAAUACCAGCGGCGAAGGCGGCCUUCUGGACGAUGACUGACGCUGAGACGCGAAAGCGUGGGGAGCAAACAGGAUUAGAUACCCUGGUAGUCCACGCCGUAAACGAUGAGCACUAGGUGCAGCGGAUAUUGACCUCUGCUGUGCCGUAGCUAACGCGUUAAGUGCUCCGCCUGGGGAGUACGGCCGCAAGGCUAAAACUCAAAGGAAUUGACGG